UGCUGCUUAGCAGAUGUUCUGGGCCUUACC
rnacentral:piRNA from 1 species